rnacentral:tRNA from 1 species
AGGGGUAAACUUAGUGGUAGAGUGCAUACCUAACAAGCACAAGGUCCUGGGUUCAAUCCCCGGUACCUCCA